rnacentral:rRNA from 1 species
UGGGGAAUAUUGCACAAUGGGCGCAAGCCUGAUGCAACCAUGCCGCGUGUAUGAAGAAGGCCUUCGGGUUGUAAAGUACUUUCAGCGGGGAGGAAGGGAGUAAAGUUAAUACCUUUGCUCAUUGACGUUACCCGCAGAAGAAGCACCGGCUAACUCCGUGCCAGCAGCCGCGGUAAUACGGAGGGUGCAAGCGUUAAUCGGAAUUACUGGGCGUAAAGCGCACGCAGGCGGUUUGUUAAGUCAGAUGUGAAAUCCCCGGGCUCAACCUGGGAACUGCAUCUGAUACUGGCAAGCUUGAGUCUCGUAGAGGGGGGUAGAAUUCCAGGUGUAGCGGUGAAAUGCGUAGAGAUCUGGAGGAAUACCGGUGGCGAAGGCGGCCCCCUGGACGAAGACUGACGCUCAGGUGCGAAAGCGUGGGGAGCAAACAGG